rnacentral:rRNA from 1 species
GUGCCAGCCGCCGCGGUAAGACGAACCGAGCGAACGUUGUUCGGAAUCACUGGGCUUAAAGGGCGCGUAGGCGGGCAUCAUAGUCUGUGGUGAAAUCCGGCAGCUUAACUGUCGAAUUGCCAUGGAUACUGGGUGUCUCGAGGGAGGCAGGGGUGCGCGGAACUGAUGGUGGAGCGGUGAAAUGCGUUGAUAUCAUCAGGAACUCCGGUGGCGAAGGCGGCGCACUGGUCCUUUUCUGACGCUGAGGCGCGAAAGCCAGGGGAGCAAACGGGAUUAGAUACCCCGGUAGUCC